rnacentral:ribozyme from 1 species
GGGGUGCGCAAAAGACAUACCUUUACGUGGUGCACCCUGGACAACGUAUAUUCAUACGGCAAAAAAGUCUUU